rnacentral:rRNA from 1 species
UACGUAGGGUGCAAGCGUUGUCCGGAAUUAUUGGGCGUAAUGAGCUCGUAGGCGGCUUGUCGCGUCGGCUGUGAAAACCUGGGGCUCAACCCCGGGCCUGCAGCCGAUACGGGCAAGCUAGAAUUCGGUAGGGGAGACUGGAAUUCCUGGUGUAGCGGUGAAAUGCGCAGAUAUCAGGAGGAACACCGAUGGCGAAGGCAGCCCCCUGGGCUAACACUGACGCUCAUGCACGAAAGCGUGGGGAGCAAACAGG